rnacentral:rRNA from 1 species
AGAGUUUGAUCCUGGCUCAGGAUGAACGCUAGCGGCAGGCUUAACACAUGCAAGUCGAGGGGCAGCGAGGGUAGCAAUACCUGUCGGCGACCGGCGCAAGGGUGCGUAGCGCGUAUGCAACCUGCCCAUUCCCGGGGGAUAGCCCGCCGAUAGGCGGAUUAAUACCCCGUAGACCCUUAGGGCCGCAUGGUCCGGAGGGUAAAGCUUCGGCGGGAAUGGAUGGGCAUGCGUGCCAUUAGCUGGCUGGCGGGGUAACGGCCCACCAGGGCUCCGCUGUCUAGGGGGUCUGAGAGGAAGAUCCCCCACACUGGAACUGAGACACGGUCCAGACUCCUACGGGAGGCAGCAGUGGGGAAUCUUCCGCAAUGGGCGAAAGCCUGACGGAGCAACCCCGCGUGCAGGAUGACGGCCCUAUGGGUUGUAAACUGCUUUUAUACACCAAGAAAAAUCCCCACGUGUGGGGACCCGACGGUAGUGUAUGAAUAAGCAUCGGCUAACUCCGUGCCAGCAGCCGCGGUAAUACGGAGGAUGCAAGCGUUAUCCGGAUUCAUUGGGUUUAAAGGGUGCGUAGGCGGCUUUUUAAGUCAGUGGUGAAAUCCUGCCGCUUAACGGUAGAAUUGCCAUUGAUACUGAAGAGCUUGAGUACAGUUGAGGUAAGCGGAAUGUGUAGUGUAGCGGUGAAAUGCUUAGAUAUUACACAGAACACCAAUUGCGAAGGCAGCUUACUAAACUGAUACUGACGCUGAUGCACGAAAGCGUGGGGAGCGAACAGGAUUAGAUACCCUGGUAGUCCACGCCGUAAACGAUGAGUGCUAGGUGUCGGCGAUAUACUGUCAGCGGCUGAGCGAAAGCAUUAAGUCAUCCACCUGGGGAGUACGAUCGCAAGGUUGAAACUCAAAGGAAUUGACGGGGGCCCGCACAAGCGGAGGAACAUGUGGUUUAAUUCGAUGAUACGCGAGGAACCUUACCUGGGCUCGAACGUAGAGUGACCGGUGCCGAAAGGUGCCUUUCCUUCGGGACAGUCUACGAGGUGCUGCAUGGUUGUCGUCAGCUCGUGCCGUGAGGUGUCGGGUUAAGUCCCGCAACGAGCGCAACCCCUACAGCUAGUUGCCAGCACGUGAUGGUGGGAACUCUAACGAAACUGCCAGCGUAAGCUGUGAGGAAGGUGGGGAUGACGUCAAAUCAGCACGGCCCUUAUAUCCAGGGCUACACACGUGUUACAAUGGCCGGUACAGAGGGCAGCUACCCAGCGACCGGAUGCAAAUCUCGAAAGUCGGUCUCAGUUCGGAUCGAAGUCUGCAACUCGACUUCGUGAAGUUGGAUUCGCUAGUAAUCGCGCAUCAGCCAUGGCGCGGUGAAUACGUUCCCGGGCCUUGUACACACCGCCCGUCAAGCCAUGGAAGCUGGGGGUGCCUGAAGUUCGUGACCGCAAGGAGCGACCUAGGGUAAAACUAGUAACUGGGGCUAAGUCGUAAC